AGAGAAGUAGCUCAGCGGGGAGAGCAGUGGUUUUACACUCCAUAUGUCAGCGGUUCAAAUCCGUUCUUCUCUA
rnacentral:tRNA from 1 species